rnacentral:rRNA from 1 species
CAACAAGGACUCCCUUAGUAACGGCGAGUGAAGCGGGAAGAGCUCAAAUUUGAAAUCUUCAAGGUUCUACCUUGACGAAUUGUAGUUUAUAGAAGUGUUUUCUGUUAGUGGAGUGGCAAAAGUUCUUUGGAAUAGGACAUCAUAGAGGGUGAGAAUCCCGUAUUUGGUCAUUCCUCCUAGCGUUGUGAUACACUUUCAACGAGUCGGAUUGUUUGGGAAUGCAGUCCAAAAUGGGUGGUAAAUUUCAUCUAAAGCUAAAUAUUGGCGAGAGACCGAUAGCGAACAAGUACCGUGAGGGAAAGAUGAAAAGAACUUUGAAAAGAGAGUUAAACAGUACGUGAAAUUGUCAAAAGGGAAGCGUUUGACACCAGUGUUGUUUUUCCGAAAAUCAAUUACGAAUGUUUUAUUUUUGAGGAGUUAUGACUUCAUCGGCUUGCUCCUUUCUUUAUGAAACUUUCUUAAUGCACUUUUCGGUUAACAAGUCAACAUCAAUUUCUUUUGUUGUAAAAGGGUAUGAGGAAGGUGGCUUUCUUUUCGGAGAAAGUGUUUAUAGCCUUGUGCCUCUGCAAUCGGAGAGAUUGAGGUCUGCAGCGUAGAUCCUUCGGGGUUAGAUACGUUUGUGCUAAGUUAUAGCUUUUCAUAGACAACUUGUUGACUAUGUUUAGUCUUGUAGCUUACUCGCUGUACGCUAUUUUACCUACGCUUAGGAUGUUGACAAAAUGGUUUUGAA